UUCUUCUGUUGGCAGCACUUAUACUAAAAUUGGAAUGAUACAGAGAAGAUUAGCAUGGCCCCUGCGCAAGGAUGACACGCAAAUUUGUGAAGUCUAACUGUUUCUU
rnacentral:snRNA from 1 species